UCAGUUUUUAUCAACCUGCUGUUAACACUUGCUUUUAGUGAGUUACUUGUACUUUGAGGUUGAAAAAUCUUACCAGAUCAGUCUACUUGAGCUGGAUUCAUAUAGAAAAAGUAAGUUUAUGACAUGUGGACAUGCGCAGAUCAGUCCUCUCUGAAAUGCCUAAACCCAACCAAUCAAGGUGCUUCGUGGGGCGGGUCUUGGCGUUGCGGGAAUCAUAAUUUUUGCAGACGGUCGUUACAAGUCACCUCACCACAUGCCGCAACUGACCAGGUGGAGCUGGAUCUAUACAUCGCUUCUACGGCACUUUUGAUUAUCUUCAGCCGAGAUUCUUGUGCUUGGCACACUUAUUUGGUGAGUAAAUAUUUUACCUGUGUGCACACCGUUUUGUAUCUGUAAGUCUGCGCCAGUAUUUUGCGCUUGAUUUGCGUGUAGUAAUGUCUGCUUACGCUGGCUAACCAUAUUAUAGACAUAACGUGGCUAUAUUUUGCUGAAACUUGGUCAAUACUUUAUUAUUUUUUCAAUCCACAACUUCCUCGGUGUUGAAAAUUGGAAACUUUAAAGACUUUUGACACGUUAAAAUUCAGGAAUAACUUCAGUGUUAUGCAGCGCCGCAAGUCGUCAAAGUAUCGCGAGAGCGAGACGAAAUAAGAUUUCUUGAAUCAUUCUCGCGGUACUUUGACGUCAUCCGUCUGUCGGUUCUUUCGGCGCCGCAUGAAGUCGAACAAGCCUAGUAAGGUAACUUUUGUCGAGUAACGUACUGACUAGCAUGAUGACAGACUGAUCCCGGUGGUUUGUGAGUUUCCUGAGCUUUAUAACUGAUUUUUAUAAGUUUAGGCAGAACAAGUAUGUAUGUAUCAUUUUAUUUUAAGCUAGGCUGUAAAGUUAGCACUAAUGCUAAUUUAGCUACCAAUAAUAACAGUCUGUGCUUAUCAAAGACAAGAUUACCACGUGUGUCGACAUGAUUGGGGAUAUCCCCACAAUGUCAUUUUAUUUAACACUCGCACUUAACACUGGUCGAUAUUUGUACUUGUGCCGUUUCCAUGGUUACCACGUGUAGUACCCAGAUCAGACACGUUACAGACAAGAGUGUCUCCCUGUCUGAAUUUUUUUUACACAGUUUAUCAUAGCCUGUUAUGAUAGGGAACGUAUUUGCUGGCAUACUCCGUUGCUUACAUUAUUAUUCAAGGUCAUCUUGUACAUAAUAUGCACAUUUUAAUAAGGGGAACUGUCUGUGGGUUAUUGGGCUAUGUUAGUUUUCACAUGUAACGUUACUUGUUUGUGAGUUGUGGUGAACUUUGGUUGUAUUAAAUUGUUUUAUUUUUUUUUAAACUGUCCUCUUUCAGGCUCAAGCAGAAUGGUAAUCAAUCCUCCUCACAUUCCAUAAUCCCAGCAAUAAAAGAUACUGUGGACAGUCCAUCAUACCCAGGACUACAGUAUCCUAGAUGCCAACCACAAAAUGGAAGAAAUGAAGAAAAAACAACCAAAUGUGGCACUCUCAUUUCACAAAUGAUGGACCAAUCAUUCCCACUAUGCAGACAAGAAAUUGUAAAAAACAAGGGCCUGCUGUACAGAACAUGGUUGAACGAUGGCCAGCACGUUUCACAGAAAGACAGGUGUUUGCUGAGUUUAAUAGAAUCGCCAGUAAGAAUCUUGAGGGAGACUUGAGGCUUUGGACCAGUAUGCCCCACGUUUCAUCGAACUUUUCAAAACAAAAAGGGAACUGUUGGCCAGAAACUCAAGGAGCUGAUGCAGCACAUGAGCUGGCUGGUAAGUAGAUUCAUUUUGCUUUUGAUCUGUAUGUUAGUUCAUCAAGUUCUAAAUGAGACAAUCCAGACCAACCUAUUUUAUUUCCUGUCUGCUUGUGCCUUGCAAUUUACUCUGUUAACUUAUCUUUUCUCUCUGUGUGUAUCAUUAGACACCAGGCUCUAGAAUGCAUCACUGUUGGUGUCCUGACGGUUGUCAGUGAAGAUAGUCCUCACGAGGGUCAAAGCUUAGUGGUCCUCCAGCCCAUCUCCACUGCCAUCAUUCUGGAGGGAGGUAUUGUUAUGGAUAAUGUUAAGGACUUGCCUCAAGUCUUUUGUUUGGGCUUACCCAAAAUGCAUGGCAAAUACACUCAACUUUAUUUAGACUGUGAUGCUCGGACUGGGAAAGAAAAACCUCCCAUCAAAACGGUUGACUCUGAAGAACAGUCUUCUGGGUUAAAGAGCUGUCCGAUAGAACUUUGUAAGCUUUGCAGCCAUUAAUGUUCUCCUGUUAUUAGAUACAGUUUGAUGCUUUUAUGCAACUGUAUUUGCUUCUGAUCUUAAUAAAAAUAAGAAAUUCCAUUAAAGUCUGUAAUGAUAUCCAGGUAUGCUAAAGUUGGAAAUAGAGCCACCGUGUUUUAUUAAGAGUUGUUAGUUGUUAUUAGAUGAUAAUGUCAGAAAAUAACCUACCACGGUUGUCCUGUUUACAUUUGUGUUUUAGGAAAGCUUUUUAUAGUUGUAAUGUCGUACAAAUACAAACCCCAAGGAGUGAUGUUUUUGUUUGUUGCUUUAAUCCUUUCACUGCUCACUUUGGGACACAAAAGCAUUUGUUGUACUUUCAGUUAAAAAUGCAAUUUUUAACUGAAUGCAAUUUUUUAAUGUAAAAAAGUUACAUUUUAACUGUCUACAGUUAAAUCAACCACAACUUUGUUUAGCUGCUGUUAUGUACAUAAAUGUGCAUUGAAUAAAUGUUGUAAUGUAGCUGAAUCAAGUGAGUGUUCUUUUAAAUUAUAUGUUUGGGAUGUGUUUAUUAGAUCGUAACAACAAAACAAGGACCCA